GAUGAACGCUGGCGGCGUGCCUAAUACAUGCAAGUCGAGCGAACAGACGAGGAGCUUGCUCCUCUGACGUUAGCGGCGGACGGGUGAGUAACACGUGGAUAACCUACCUAUAAGACUGGGAUAACUUCGGGAAACCGGAGCUAAUACCGGAUAAUAUAUUGAACCGCAUGGUUCAAUAGUGAAAGACGGUUUUGCUGUCACUUAUAGAUGGAUCCGCGCCGCAUUAGCUAGUUGGUAAGGUAACGGCUUACCAAGGCAACGAUGCGUAGCCGACCUGAGAGGGUGAUCAGCCACACUGGAACUGAGACACGGUCCAGACUCCUACGGGAGGCAGCAGUAGGGAAUCUUCCGCAAUGGGCGAAAGCCUGACGGAGCAACGCCGCGUGAGUGAUGAAGGUCUUCGGAUCGUAAAACGCUGUUAUUAGGGAAGAACAAAUGUGUAAGUAACUAUGCACGUCUUGACGGUACCUAAUCAGAAAGCCACGGCUAACUACGUG
rnacentral:rRNA from 1 species